AUGGCCCUUACGACCAGGGCUACACACGUGCUACAAUGGCGCAUACAAAGAGAAGCGACCUCGCGAGAGCAAGCGGACCUCAUAAAGUGCGUCGUAGUCCGGAUUGGAGUCUGCAACUCGACUCCAUGAAGUCGGAAUCGCUAGUAAUCGUGGAUCAGAAUGCCACGGUGAAUACGUUCCCGGGCCUUGUACACACCGCCCGUCACACCAUGGGAGUGGGUUGCAAAAGAAGUAGGUAGCUUAACCUUCGGGAGGGCGCUUACCACUUUGUGAUUCAUGACUGGGGUGAAGUCGUAACAAGGUAACC
rnacentral:rRNA from 1 species